AAUGUUUCCAGGCAUGCUUGCAUGGCUGGGGAACAUCGUUUGAGACCCGCACAAACAUGAGAAUGCAGCACUGUGGUGCGGAAUUCGAAUGUUUGCAGGAUUGCGAAAGGCGCUUUGCGACGGAGCAAUCCGUCG
rnacentral:sRNA from 1 species